AACGAACGCUGGCGGCGCGCCUAAUACAUGCAAGUCGAGCGAGAAGACGUAGCAAUACGUUUGUAAAGCGGCGAACGGGUGAGGAAUACAUGGGUAACCUACCCUCGAGUGGGGAAUAACUAGCCGAAAGGUUAGCUAAUACCGCGUACGCUCCUCGGACUUCGGUUCAGGGAGGAAAGCGAUACCGUGGGUAUCGCGCUCUUGGAUGGGCUCAUGUCCUAUCAGCUUGUUGGUGGGGAACGGCGUCACCAAGGCUUCGACGGGUAGCUGGUCUGAGAGGACGAUCAGCCACACUGGCACUGCGACACGGGCCAGACUCCUACGGGAGGCAGCAGUAAGGAAUAUUGCGCAAUGGGCGAAAGCCUGACGCAGCGACGCCGCGUGGGGGAGUGAAGGUC
rnacentral:rRNA from 1 species